rnacentral:rRNA from 1 species
CCUACGGGGGGCAGCAGUGGGGGAUAUUGCACAAUGGGGGGAACCCUGAUGCAGCGACGCCGCGUGGGUGAAGAAGCGCCUCGGCGCGUAAAGCCCUGUCAGCAGGGAAGAAAAUGACGGUACCUGAAGCAGAACCCCCGGCUAACUUCGUGCCAGCAGCCGCGGGAAUCCGUAGGGGGCAAGCGUUAUCCGGAUUUACUGGGUGUAAAGGGGGCGCAGACGGCGAUGCAAGCCAGGAGGGAAAGCCCGGGGGCCAACCCCGGGACUGCUCUUGAAACUGGGUUGCUGGAGUGGAGGAGGGGCAGGCGGAAUGCGUGGUGUAGCGGUGAAAUGCGUAGAUAUCAGGAGGAACACCGGUGGCGAAGGCGGCCUGCUGGACUCCAACUGACGUUGAGGCCCGAAAGCGUGGGGAGCAAACAGGAUUAGAUACCCGUGUAGUC